UCGAGUGGGGGAGGGCAAGGGCGUACACUCAUGGAUGCAAUGCAGAAGAAGUAGUGAUGUGUCGAGAGCGAUAUCAAUCUGCUUUUCCAAUGAGCCUCCGGUGUUACAGCUUAACCAAAAGUGCAUUCCAUUGAGUAAGAGGAGGGAAAGUCACCUUCAGAGUUGCAUGACUACUGCGUCACUAUUUUGGCAUGACCAGUGGGGUCAUGUCCGAGGACUGUUGAAUGACUUUGAUAGGCCGUGUGCACCCUCCUGUGAUACAAAAUCCUUGCUUGUACCGUACUUGUUGAUCCCGGGGCUGCUGAGGCUACAUGAAUCAACAGCCC
ensembl:lncRNA